CACUGUUGAGGGCCCUCAUGGGGUUUUUGAUUAUGUGAUUACUUGGCCGUUUUUUUAAUGAUUAUUUGAUUAUUAAGCCAAAUAUUUCAUGAUUAUUUGAUUACCUAGGACUGUAUUUUUAGUUUAUGAUUAUUUGAUUACUAAAGAUAAGCAAAUAUUUAAUGAUUAUGUGAUUAUAUUGGCAAAAAAAUAGUGAUUAUGUGAUUACUAGGACCCCCCCCAUGAGGGGCCUCACUGUUUUAGAGAGGG
rnacentral:lncRNA from 1 species